CGGGGGAGCAGGGGCAUCAUUCCCUGGCGCCGGGUCAGUUUCUAAGUUUGCAUCAUCCCCUUCAUUACGAGAGAGUUUGGGUUUCCAUUCCUGCCGGCGGGUCAAGAGGGAGGCAGCCGGGCUGCAAACUCGCUUGGCACAGCCUGGCACACACGACUGCUUAUUUAAACAGAAUAAUAAAGGCACCCGAGCGCCCGGGGCGCGGCCAAGCGGCGCGCAAGGCUGGGCUCCCGGCAGACCGGAAGGAACUGAUAAAGCGGGUGCUAAUGACACCCGCGCCCUCCCGGUUCGGAAGUGUCCUCCGAGCGCGGAUCAUUGAGAAAUACUGAAGGGGCAGAAUGGGGGUGAGGAAGCUUUUUGCACUCCACCACCUCUGGCGGCUGGGAAGACGUCAUCGCUUCCGCCCUACUUCCUCCUCCUGUUGGCGGCGGUGAGAAUCCAAUAUGGAGUAAAUCGGUGGAGUCGAGAGAUGGGGCUCGGACGGGGCGCCCUGCACCGCCUCCCAGGCGCACCUCCCCCGGCCUCCGACCGCUCCCCGGAACCGUGAUUGGCCCAGCCCCCCGGGGGCGACCCAAGGCUGAGCCCCCACCGGCUGCUGGCCCUCUCCCGCUCUCCGCAGUCCCCGCCGCUCCACGGAGAGCUUGUUUUUCUCCUCCUCUCCCCCACCGCCGUCCCCUGCCCAAAUCAUUCCCCUCUGCCCGCUUCCGAACCCCGAGCCCCCGCCCGCCUCGACCCUCGGCGCUGCGGCGCUCGCUCCCCCCGACCCAAGCUUGCCUGUGCACCCCUUCCUCCAGACCUCACCCCGCGCUCCGGUCACCCAGCUUCCCCUUCUGCCUUCUGCGGCGCCCCCUUCAUCUUUAGCACCCCCCCCGCCCCCACCAAAUCAGGCGAUCUCCGGAGAUGUGAAGAAGGGGGGUGAGCGGACAGGAAGAUGAAGGGAGCAAAGCUGCUCGCCGCGGGACAGGCGUCUAGGUGAACAGGAAAAUGACCGAAGAAACACACCCGGACGAGUAAGUUUGGCCGCGGGGUGGAACGAGGGUGUCCCGCGGGGGCAGCGUGGAGUCCGGGGCUGAGGACGCGGGCGGGGACGCUGGUUGGGUGAACUUGGCGUGGGGUGCAGCGAAUAGCUGGUCUGUGGGUUUAGGAUGCGAGAUUUGACCCCUUGUUGUUGAAGUGAGGAGGGGGCAAAAGCUGCUGCGGGCCGUUGGGGGCGCGCCUUGAGUCGGCGGGCUGGUGGCCGCUGCGGGGGCCAAGGGCGCGCGGGUGACCUCGGGGCUGUCCCCGCUCCCUCUCCGGGGACUCACAAACACCCCUCCCCCCGAGAUCCUCGGCGGCGGGAGCGGAAGACCUGACACCCCCGCUCCGGCUCCCCGGCGUCGGUGGGUUUUAACACAGUGACUUUGUGACUCUCCCGCCCCGCUGCUCGCCCGACGCUCCUUUUGGGAGCCCUCUGGGGCCCAGGCUCCGCCAUUUCGUUUUCUUGAAUCGCUCUCAUUUGCAUACCAC
rnacentral:lncRNA from 1 species